CUUCCCUACGGGGCGCAGCAGUAGGGAAUCUUCCACAAUGGGCGAAAGCCUGAUGGAGCAACGCCGCGUGGGUGAAGAAGGUCUUCGGAUCGUAAAACCCUGUUGUUAGAGAAGAAAGUGCGUGAGAGUAACUGUUCACGUUUCGACGGUAUCUAACCAGAAAGCCACGGCUAACUACGUGCCAGCAGCCGCGGUAAUACGUAGGUGGCAAGCGUUAUCCGGAUUUAUUGAGCGUAAACGGAACGCAGGCGGUCUUUUAAGUUUGAUGUGAAAGCCUUCGGCUUAACCGGCGUA
rnacentral:rRNA from 1 species